rnacentral:rRNA from 1 species
UACGUAGGUGGCUAGCGUUGUCCGGAUUUACUGGGCGUAAAGAGCGCGCAGGCGGUCGUUCAAGUCGAGUGUGAAAGCCCCCGGCUCAACUGGGGAGGGUCACUCGAUACUGAUCGACUCGAAGGCAGGAGAGGGAAGCGGAAUUCCCGGUGUAGUGGUGAAAUGCGUAGAUAUCGGGAGGAACACCAGUGGCGAAGGCGGCUUCUGGCCUGUUCUGACGUCUGAGCGCGAAGCGU